rnacentral:rRNA from 1 species
CCUACGGGAGGCAGCAGUGAGGAAUAUUGGUCAAUGGGCGCGAGCCUGAACCAGCCAAGUAGCGUGAAGGAUGACUGCCCUACGGGUUGUAAACUUCUUUUAUAAAGGAAUAAAGUGAGGCACGUGUGCCUUUUUGUCUGUACUUUAUGAAUACGGAUCGGCUAACUCGGUGCCAGCAGCCGCGGUAAUACGGAGGAUCCGAGCGUUAUCCGGAUUUAUUGGGUUUAAAGGGGGCGUAGAUGGGUUGUUAAGUCAGUUGUGAAAGCUUGCGGCUCAACCGUAAGAUUGCAAUUGAUACUGGCAGGCUUGAGUGCAGGUGAGGUAGGCGGAAUUCGUGGUGUAGCGGUGAAAUGCGUAGAUAUCACGAAGAACUCCGAUUGCGAAGGCAGCCUACUAAACUGCCACUGACAUUGAUGCUCGAAAGUGUGGGUAUCAAACAGGAUUAGAUACCCGUGUAGUC